AGGCCCUAAGUCAGCCGAACCGGUACGGGAGAGAAAAAAAUUGCCCAGCCACGCACGUCCCGGCCUCCCAAUCUCAUCUCCACCGGCAGCGCAACACCACCUCCUACCCUGCCCUCACCGCGCGCCGCCGGACACACCCCGCCGUCGAGCGCCACCACCGCCUACCCUCCUCCCAUCGGGAUCCCCCCGAUCCAAAAAUCCAUCCACCCAGUCCUCUCCUUGAUUUCCAAAUCGAGCCUACCGGCAGCCUCCCUGCGCAGCUGUGCCCCCGCGCCUCUGCCUCACCGAGCGCCCGACCAGGCCGUCGUUUGUCGCCAGCACCCGCGGAUCUGGCCGCCCCUCACCUUCCCCAUGGGCUGCACCUCACAGCGCCGCCGCCCCUGCCAAGCUCCGCCGCUGGAGGAUGAAAUUCUGUCAAUGCCCACUGUCUUCAAGUAAUACUUUUUUUAGUGUCCAGGAAAAAAUCUUGGGAACAUUUGUCAUGCUAGCCACCUGACGCUCGGCAUAUCCUCUCCUUCGUGGCAUCCAGCUUUGCUGCAGGGACCAAAAGUUGGGGUCAAGAUCGAAGUCGGCUGAGCUAUUGGGUGGCUCUGAAGAUGUGUUUGUGUUAGAGAUUAGUUUACAUGCAAAACAAGCCUCAGCAUAUUUGAGAUGAUGGCUGUUGCUGCACGUGAAGAGUUGGUUAAUAUGAAGAAGUUCCUAAUUAACUGACUUGAGCCAUUUGCACAGAACCGGUGCUCUCCCGUUGCAACAUACGGGCAUUUGAUGAGAGAACGGACGUAAGCACAUUGACAUAAAUAUAUGCAGGAAGGAAUUAAAGGAGAGACUACACAACUCGGGUGACAAAGAGUUGUGCCUAUGGCCGAUUAAAUAGAACUAAAAAAAGUCUGCGUCUAUAGUGAGACACCUCGAGGAAAAAAGAUCGGAUGAUGAGAAAGGAAAAAGGAGAGAUUGGAUCGGGACAACGUACAACCUGGAUUCAGGUUUUAGCACACGAUGGACGAGCUGCAGGCCACGGCGGACGCUGGAGGCACAGGCCCAUCGCAGACAGGGGUAGGCCUGGGUGAAGUCCGGCAAGGUGUGUGUGUGUUGCAGAUAGAUGGAGGCACUGGGACGGGGCGGCAAGGUGUGUUUGUUGCAGAUAGAUGGAGGCACUGGGACGGGGCGGCAAGGUCCAAGACGACGGGUCACGAGAGCAGGUUGUGGUUGUCUGCAUAUAUAUGUAUUCCCCUCCGUUAACAAUGGUUGGAUGAAGCUUUGGAGUACUAUAAACUUCCAGGGAAGAUCAAGAUCGAGAGAUAGACAAGGGGUAAUGGUAGCUCGUGCAGUGAUAGAGUGCUGGGGAGGCUGCCGGUGUCGUUGCCGAGUGCUGGGGAGGCUGCUGAACAAGUUUAUUUAUUUGUCGUGUGAAUUGUUCCACACUUCUGAUCAUCAUAUUGUAUGAUGAGCAGUUGGCCAUCUCUUAUUCUGUGGGGAUAUGGUCCGUUUGUAUUCUUCUAAUUGAUUCGGUUCACAAUUCUAGCCGAUGAAAUUUGGUCUACAUUUAUGUGUACGUAUGCUAUACUAUAUACUGGAACUUGUGCUUGCCCGUUAUAUGAUUAUACUACAAGUAGACAAAUGUAAAUGUCCAUAGUAAUAAACUUGUGGUCAUAGGACUACUAGCUUAAAGUUUGUUAGAUUAUGUAAAUGGGCAUUUUUGUUGUCUGCUCUUUAGGUUUCCAUAGCAUGAGGUGGUGCUCUUGCUUUUAAAAACACAUAUAAACUGCCAUCUAUACUGAACAAUGGGGCUUCCUGUCUAAACUGGAGUAGUAAUUUGAGGCUGAAAGGACCAACAUUAGCAGCAAUAAUAUUAAUAUCCAUUAGAAGAGUUUUCUGCACUGAGCCCGUGGGUCUCACAAAGAUAUAAGAUAUAUAGAAUGUUGUAAAGAUCAGCUUACCUUCUCAUGCAAUGGAACAAUUGUGUGUCUUGAUCUUUUCCGUUUUCUUUGGUUUUGCAGCCUAGAAUUUUUAGGCACGCGCAUAUAGAUUGGAGCAUCUAAUAGUAGUUGAAAGUGUUUUUGAGUAAAAAUGCAACUAAUACUCAAUUUUCUAGGACUUGAUACAUCAUGGUCUUCUUGUGCCUUGUUGUUUGGUUGGUGUAGAAUCCCUCAGCUCUUACCAAGAGGCUCUAGCUUCGAACCUGACUCUUUUAGUAGUUGGAGUGUUGCACACAUGGAAUUGAUCGCAGAGAGGAAGCGAAGCAGCAACAGUUUGGGUUCAGAGAAGAUUAGGAGCAGCAGUUCAUUGGAGAAGGAGAGGUACAGCAACCGAGGGCAGCAGCAGAGAGCAGAAUCAGCAGGUCAGGGGCGGCAGCAGAGGAUCAGAAGCAGAGAUGAGUUUGAUUCAAUUGCCAUUGAUAAUGAUUCAGACUUGAGUUUGCACCACCCUUGUUUUACUAAAUAGUUUGUCCUUUUUCACUUGUGAUUAUGCACUAGAGAUUUGCAAGGAUGCAUUGGAUUCUUUUUAUACUGAUUUGAUGCACUCUGACUUUCGAAUGCGAACAAAUGUGAUCUUC